rnacentral:tRNA from 1 species
GGUGAUUAGCUCAGCUGGGAGAGCACCUCCCUUACAAGGAGGGGGUCGGCGGUUCGACGCGGUGAACAGC